CUCACCCCAGCUCCACCCCAAUCACCACAUACACCAAGGAAAGGCACGUGUGGACGUGGCAAGAAGGCAGCUGUGUGCGAGCCAGGAAGAGUUCUCACCAGACACUGAAUUGGCUGGAACCUCCACCUUGGAUGUCUAGCCUCCAGAAAGAGGGUCCCUUCUCAUAAGAUAGUAAUUCUGUUGUGUAAGCCACCAGCCUCUGGGGUUUUGUUAUGGCAGCCUGAGCUACUACGGGUCCGGAAGUGGGGUUGCUGGCUGGAUCAGAUGGAUCCGUGGGCCCUUAAUCGAGGACUUUCUUCUUCGGUUGCUGCCAGCCGGCUUGUGGAGAGUACCUAGUGAAUCUCAUGUGUCCAGCAGAGAGGAAUAUGGGCCUCCCCACGCAUUUCAGGGCCCGUCUUCCUUGAAGAGAAGGCAAGAAGCAGGAAGACACAUUUUUCACUGCUGAGAGUAGUUUUAUUUAGGUGGGCAUAACAGUGCAGAACCAAAACAGUGCUUCACCCUUCCCUACACAGCAGCCUUGAUUUUCCACCUUUCAUCCCUCCCUAAAGGGAGGCCGGCUGGAUCAGAAGGCAGAACUUGGACAGGCGGCUUACGUGGAAAUACAAAAAUGUAACAGUGAUAGCCACCAAACUGGAGAGUUUCCAGGUUCUUGUGCUUUUUUUAAGGACCGUUUUCUAACCAUGAUACGCUGUCAUCCUUUGAUCCUUGUGGAACAGAAAGUGAUCGUUCUUACCAAAUGAUACAGCAAAAAGAGCAUGCGUGUCUCUCUUUAAAAGUUCUGGAGAUGUUUGGUCGUUGAAAAGAAUGUGAAUUACACCUAGAGCACCGCUUUACACAACCCCAUUAGGCUGUAAUUAUGGUGCUUUUAAAAAACUCCAACUUGUAAACAGGAAUUGAUGGCUUCAUCCUUUGUAGGGAACACUGGUGACACUGUCGAAUUCUACAAGGACUUUCCUCCUCUGGUGGGCAGGGGAGAGCACUCAAAGCAUUAGAAACUCUUGUCACUUUCAAGAACUUGAAGAACAAUCACGGAUCAAACACAUGCUUUCAGUGACAGAGUAUUUUUACAGCUAAAGAGAGAACGCUGAAACAAUACAUUUCAUUUCCAGCAGGCUGAACAAAGCAAUCACGAAUUAACAUCUAUUAUGUUCCACAAAUGACACAAUAUCAUCUUUGCCAAUCUUUUUUAAAGGUUUCACAUCACUUGUGAAUAACAGGACCAAACAGCCAACGAUCGCCCAGAAGGAGCCCCUUCAUCUCCACGCCCUCAGAAGAACCCCUAAUUACUGGCAAUUGCGCAUUUCAAUCAAUGUUCCUUUUCAAGAGGUCGGUCUGGGAAAUAACAGAGAUCAGGGGCUUUAAAACUUCAAUUUCAAAAAAAAAAUUUUUUUCAUCACUGCAAGGCAACACUGAACUUGUACUGAACUUGGAAAGUGGUCACAACGUCACAGUAAAAAGCCAAGGACUGUCAUUACUUACAUGUAGAGCCCUAGUCAUUUACAGAAAUAUUCCUCUCUCCACCGUGAGGCUGAGUCUCCCCUCUCGUCUCCUGCCGAGGACGGUUUGCCUUUUAAAUCAACACAGUUGCCAACAAACUAGGACUUCUCCUAACAGUGUGUUCAUGUGUUCACCAAAUAUUUACACAAUGUCCAUUACACUCCAGCCAGUUGCUGUGGUAGGAGCCUGUGAUACAGCACUAGAUAACAACUCCCAUCAUUGUAGAUAUUCUAUCAACUGGGACUGACAAUAAGCAAAAUAAACCAACGCGAACACAGUUUAAAACGCAUGCGGCAAUCCACCCCCAGGAGCAGAACUCCCUGUCACAGGACGGAGGCCGGCAGCACCCCCAGCCCACCUCCGCUCAAUGUUGGAUAGGAGAGGAUGCUCAGUGAACAGGUAGCUUCUACGAGCGAAACACAGACGUGCAGCAAGCCCUGCCGCACAGCUGGAAGUUCUAGCAUUUUCACAGCACAUCUACAAAGGAGGACAAAGCAUUUGACAAGGGCUGUGCUCACCCUCACCCACACUCUAGAGAAGCUGGACAGGGGUCGUUCCGGGCCACUGCCAGCCACACGCACUCUCUUAGUUGACUUUUUCAGCCUGACUCUACAAAAUGAAAUCCAUUCCUCAAAAGGUAGAGCAUGCUGAAGAGUGCGCAGACACGAUUUCACUAAGUAAACACGCAGCAGCUUUCCACGUGGGCAAAGGGGCCUCCGUUCUGUGCCGUGCGCCUUGGUCUCCAGCCACAAGAGCACAGCUUCGUGGACGACGAUGGCCCCUGAAGGUGUAUUUAGUGUUGUGUGCAUCCCAGAGGAAAGGGUUCGUAGCUUUAAAAGUAUUGGCAAGGGGUCUGUAACUUCCUGGAGGCUUAAGAAUGUCUACAUUCCCGUCUUAAGAUGGGAAGUCUCUGCCUUCUGUGUGGUAAAAGCAAACACGUGGCUGGAUACUGCUUUCAGAAUGAUCCGUUCGAGGCCCAGCUGGUGCUUUACUAGGAAGACGUGAGCCGGAAACAAAGUCAGUGACCCUGGGGUACUCAUUUAGGAUCGGUCUGUCCCCUUUUAAAUGACUCUUACCCUCAGAAAAUGGGACCCUCAAAAGUAGUCCUGUAAGCCAGCAACUCACAGGAGAUGAACGAGUUAACUUUCUUGAUAACACUUUUUCCCAAGCCAGAAUGUAUGACCGGGCAUCCACAUCAGCCCCUUAGCUCCACGACUGUCGUUCACGGGCAACUCCAUGUCCGCCACAGGCUUGCCCUCCCCCGCAAGGUAAGGUGCAAAAGGCCAGUGGAGCUCCUACUACUCAAAAUUGCUAUCUUAUCAUUUUGUCCAAGCUUCAGACUGGAGUACUUGUGGCUAAAGAAGCUCUGGGAAAAACUGCAACCAGAUUCUUAAAACCACCGGCUACAGAGGCUACGGCAGAGAGGAAAACAAUAUGGCAUCCACCCAGAACACAGAGCGUUUGCUGGAAGUUUUCUGGAAGGGCCUUUAUUGUGGCUGCUCUUUUUUUGUACCUGCCUCUGCCUUUGUGGCCUCUGACUAGACUGUGAACUCCUCAAAGCUGUGCCUUAUUCAUCACAGCCACACCAUCAGUGACUAGCAGGACUAGCCUGGGACAUCGCAGACCCCACUGGAGCUCAGCAGCAGAGGGUUACCUGCAGAAAACCCCUUGGAAAACUGAGUUGCUGUGCAUGUGCAGAUUUCCCCACGGCGCCCUUUUAGCGGCAUUCUUUUCCUGUACAGAAGUCACAAGGAAGUAUCCUUUGCACGCAUCUCGUUCACCAAGUCUCCCGUCAGAGCAGUGCAUGGGCCCGCAGCCCUUCCCAGCAGAGUGCGACAAACCAUGGUCAGCGAUUUCAGUUAGCCAGGGUGACAAGCAGCAGUGUGAAGAGACACCAGCACCGUCCCCAGGUUAGGACACCACCGGGAGCAGGACUGCCUGUGGGUCGGUGGAUGUUUCUCUUGUCCAACAGUUAUUAACACAGAGGAGACUCAGAUUAAAA